UGGCGCAGUUUAGUUAACACGAGAAUCGUGAAAAUCGUGUUAGCAGGAGUAUGGAUCGAAAAUGAAUAUUAAAUAGUGGACAGAAAUAAGAAAUGGGUGGAAAAAUACGAAAUGUAAGUGCAGCUAGGCUAACCGCUCGGUAUGGGCAUUCUCGUCAUUUCCGGUGGCGCUCCAGUCGCCCUUCACUCUUUAAUCGGCAGAUUCGGCACAACCUGUUUAAUUUGCUGCAUGGCGCCAUUGCUCUGUCGUCCAAUCACAGGUGAGCAGCUUCCUGGUCUCGCGUGGACGAUAGGCACUCUUCCUACUGUCGAUUAGACCCAGAUGCGUUUGCCAAGCUGCGUUCAUUCCAGUGGCGACUGCAUGCAUACGGUCCGUGGAUUCAGGUUCUCCAAUCUCCACUUUUCUCGCAACUUUUAAAAAAAUUUGAUCAGAAACCGUGAUCCACUCCUAACAGUAGUUUGAAUUAUUUCUGAAAACUACUGGACAGUACUCAGUGUUUGAAAUCUCGUUGCGCUGAGUCCGAUCUGUGGUGAGUGUAAAUGUGUAGUUAGGCCUAAAGGAGUGUGCAAAAGAAUCACGCACAAAUCUAGUUUCUCCUUCCUGGAUAUCAGGGUAUAGCCACGACGCCCAACGGAGGGUGUCCAGGGUUUCGCUUCCCGUUUGGCCCCAUCCUGGAUACCAUGGAUUUUCUAAACUGGACUACUUAUUUUUGAGCUUGGAUUACGUUUCCUUAUACUGUUUUCUCGUGCUUGUUCUUUUGUUACCCUCAGGUUAUUCUUAGGUUUAUUAGGACUUGAGGUUAUAGAAAACCGAAUAUCUUUCGAGCCUAAAAAAGUCAAAAAACUUUAAAACCAUUAUUUGAACAGCACUACGUCAAUCGACCCAUUUUUGGUGAUGACCGUUAGGGAGGAGAGACUCAUCCAGAGCAUCUACCAUACAAGGCUUUUACAUAUUUAUUUAUCAUUAGUUUUGUAGAUUUCAUCUCUUUUUUGUAGAUUUCAACCCAAGAAACUUAGAAACCCUAGGAAACUUCAGAAAUCUAAUAAACUUAAUAAAACCUAAGAAAACUAAAAACCCUUAGAAACCUAAGAAUCACCUGAGAAUAAUAGAAGAAUAAGCACAAAAAACUCUAUAAGAAAUUGUAAUCCAAGCCCCAAAAUAAGUACUGGUAGUCCAAUUCAGAAAAUGCAAGUUAUCCAAGUUAAGUAAUCCAGCUUAUGUAAUCCAACUUAUUCCAAGUCCAAGUUUGAGUAAUCCAACUCCGAAUCCGAAUCCAAGGUUCAGCGCGGGCCCUCAGCGAAUAUAAAAAUGUGGAAAAAAGUCAAAGGAUUGUGGGAAUGGACAACACAGAAACAAACGAAAACAUGUAUUAUUACGGAUGAUUCCGUGGACAGCAAGUCCUGUUCCAAAAAGGGAAAGGAUGCAUCAGCUGUCUCAGCAACUGAGGAACGUGGCAUUAGAAAUUCAUUGGGAUUUUGCUGGAUUCCACUUCCAGUGCGUGUUGCGCGUCCGGAAUAAUGAACUGGACGAGGACGACGAUCGAUCUUCCUGAAAUGGUUUUCGGAACCCGGGCGGAACUGAAAUUCUUUAAUAAAUAAUAUGCUUCAGUACAAAUUAUGCCCUUUUUUCCUCAAUAUCGCUGCGUCGGCCUUCUAACGGGUACCUGAACAAAAUGCUGAUUUUCUUUCGGCUCGUUGCUAGCAGACCAUCGGUUGUGCCGUGAACAACUUUUUGAAAAUUUUGUUACUUAACUAACAAAGGCAAAAAAAUUUUAUCUGGAUAAUUGAAACCUGCUCAUUAUUAACGGCGAAAACUUAUCUUACAGGUUGAGGCCCAGAGCCAG